GCCCCUGUCGUUCAAUGGAUAGGACGGAAGUUUCCUAAACCUCAAAUGUAGGUUCGAUUCCUACCAGGGGCA
rfam:Candidatus Staskawiczbacteria bacterium RIFCSPHIGHO2_01_FTLL_36_16 rifcsphigho2_01_scaffold_9032, whole genome shotgun sequence.